AUCGGUGACAGGUGGUGCAUGGUUGUCGUCAGCUCGUGUCGUGAGAUGUUGGUUAAGUCCCGCAACGAGCGCAACCCCUAUUGUUAGUUGCCAUCAUUCAGUUGGGCACUCUAGCGAGACUGCCGGUAAUAAACCGGAGGAAGUGGGGAUGACGUCAAAUCAUCAUGCCCCUUAUGACCUGGGCUACACACGUGCUACAAUGGUUGGUACAACGAGUUGCGAGUCGGUGACGGCGAGCUAAUCUCUUAAAGCCAAUCUCAGUUCGGAUUGUAGGCUGCAACUCGCCUACAUGAAGUCGGAAUCGCUAGUAAUCGCGGAUCAGCACGCCGCGGUGAAUACGUUCCCGGGCCUU
rnacentral:rRNA from 1 species